rnacentral:lncRNA from 1 species
GCCUUCUUGAGGUUGCCCUUAACUGAUUCUGCCUUCAUGUUUUGUGUUUUUCAAUUAGAAAGGGGCUCCCCAGCAGUAGCUCGAUCUGUGUACAAUGUACUGUACUCUGAGGUCUCUAAACUUUCCCCAUAGUGUACGUAUGUAUGCACAUUAAAUACAUGAUUAUACCCAUACCUGCGGACAUCUGCCAACUUAAAUUGAUCCCCACUAUGUUCAGUAACUUUAAUUUUGCUACAUUUAGGUCUUAACUGUAGCAGAUCAGGGCAGAAAAUAACAUCUUUGAUCAGAGAUCAUCACAACCAGUUGUGUACGUGCUACUGACAGUUCAGAUCCAGAUUCUAUUUACAGUCUAGAGCUUUUCUAGGCAUUUAAGACCAGAGUCCAUAGUAAAAGUCUCCUGAAGGUUCAUACACGGGUGUCUGUGUAGAGAAAGGGUCUGUGCGCGGAACUUUGUCACAAAGUAACUACCGCGUUCAAUAGAGCGUUGAUCAUCUAAUGUGUGUUCACAUGCAUUCGGAAAGGCUCCUGACCCCAUGGUUUCACUCUGGACAAUGAAAGGACAUAGUAUAUGUUUACCUAGUAAAUAUAUCACAAAUACAGCUGAAUAAUGACUUGUAGCCUUUCAUAGCUCUAUAGAGCUACAUUUGGUGCCUGGCAGAAAUUGUCUCUAGAAAUAACUUUAGUAUGAAAUGAUCUACUUUUUUGAUAGGUCACAAUACACCAAAGAGAACGGUAGAAGUUGAUAUAUAUUUCUCAUCCCCUUUUCUCUUCUUUAUUUACCCUCAUUCACAUGGGUACUCUUUGAUUAUUCUCCAAAUCCCUGUGUUGAAGUGGAAUUCUCUUGUACGAUGUUCUAGGGCAGGGCUCUCCAGCCCUGUCCCUGGAGAGCUACCCUCCAUGUAGGUUUCCACUCCAGCCCUGUCCCUGGAGAGCUACCCUCCAUGUAGGUUUCCGCUCCAGCCCUGUCCCUGGAGAGCUACCCUCCAUGUAGGUUUCUGCUCCAACCCUGUCCCUGGAGAGCUACCCUCCAUGUAGGUUUCCACUCCAACCCUGUCCCUGGAGAGCUACCCUCCAUGUAGGUUUCUGCUCCAGCCCCAGCUGUAACUAACCUGAUUCAGCUCAUCAAUCAGCUAAUGACUACAAUUGUUUGCGCUAGAUUAGGGUUGGAGGGAACCUGCAGGAUGGUAGCUGUCCAGGAACGGCCUGUUCUAGGCCGUUGUGCUGGGGUCAGUGCAAGGUGGAAUGUGCUAAGCGUUGUGAUUAGGAUGGUAAGGACCUUUUUCAUCAGAGUGCUGUAUUGCUGGGUGUUGUUCUGUGUCAACAACACAUAUAAGAGGACAUCUCCUUUUCUGAGAUGCUUUUUUUGUAUUUAUUUAGAUGGAUAUUUUUCAAGAAUCUGUAUAAAGUUAACAUACGUAGUGGACAACCCUCUAUGGCUCCUGUUUAAAGGUUUGAAUAACCGUAUUUAAUGUUUUUAUAACGAGAGGUAUUUACUCCAUGAUCUUUGACAAUAUUGGUACUCAGCCAUCAUCUGUCACACUACAAUGUAGAAUUUGGCCCUCUGUUAUAAUUAUUAAUAGAUGUUCACUGUCUGUAUGUAUUACCAAUGGAGGGCAGUGAUUCUUACUGUGAAAGCCCCAAAGUGAACUUCCCCCCCCACUUAUGGUCAAUGAAAUGUACAUAACAGCCAUCACAGAGUGCCUUUUAUUGCCAUCCUCUCAUGUCAUCCGCUAUGUGAUUCUCACGUAUUACCAGGGCCUUGCUUUAUAUUUUUAUUUAGCGUCUUACAAAGGAUGUUCUGUUCAAGCGUUUCCUGUGUCACAUCUCACUUUGGAUAAAACUUUUCUAUGUAAAUAUGUAAAAAUUGUACAUGUCAUCAACCAGCAAUUCACUUAGGAGAUAUUCAAUACCCUGGACCUGUUUUCUUUGUGCUGAGUUGUGCGGUUAUCAUUUAAAGGUACUUGAACAAUAAAUACAUGUAAUAA